UACAGAGGGUGCGAGCGUUAAUCGGAAUUACUGGGCGUAAAGCGCACGUAGUCGGCUUGUCAAGUCGGGUGUGAAAUCCCCGGGCUCAACCUGGGAACUGCAUCCGAGACUGACUUGCUAGAGUAUGGGAGAGGGAAGCGGAAUUUCUGGUGUAGCAGUGAAAUGCGUAGAGAUGUGGAGGAACACCAAUGGCGAAGGCAGCCCCCUGGGUCGAUACUGACGCUCAUGCACGAAAGCGUGGGUAGCAAACAGGAUUAGAAACCCCGGUAGU
rnacentral:rRNA from 1 species